UACAGAGAGUGCAAGCGUUAAUCGGAAUUACUGGGCGUAAAGCGCACGUAGGUGGAUACUUAAGUCGGAUGUGAAAUCCCUGGGCUUAACCUAGGAAUGGCGUUCGAUACUACACGGCUUGAGUGUGAUAGAGGGAAGCGGGAUUCCGGGUGUAGCGGUGAAAUGCGUAGAUAUCCGGAGGAACACCAGUGGCGAAGGCGGCUGCCUGGACCGAUGCUGACGCUGAGGCGCGAAAGCGUGGGGAGCGAUCCGG
rnacentral:rRNA from 1 species